GGGCUGGGGGGGGCGGUCACGUGCUGGGGCGGGGCGCAGGGAGGGAGGGAGAGGAGGGCAGGAGCGAGGACCGGCCGAGCGGUGGGUGGAGAAAACAAAGCCCAAAGCUGUCAGCUCCUGCUCCCCGCCGCCCAGCAGCACCACCAGCAGCAGCAGCCUCUUCCAUCACAUCUCUUAAAUCCAGUAAAAAUCGUGAACACCAAAUUGAGUUCUCAUUAGCCAGCUGUAUACCAUUCCUCUAAGGAAUAGUUCAUUUCAACAACCAGUGAAAGAGUCUGGAUGCUUAAGGUAAGAGUUUACCAGUUCUGGUACUCAGAUUUCUAUAAACAUAGAUGCAGAGUGAAAAUGCCUAGCCCCUUAAUGAUUCAUAAAAAGUUUACGUUGUGCUAGAAAGUUAUUUUCUCUGCAGUCCAUUUAUAGACAACUCACAGAUGACUGAAUAAAUAUUCAAAUAAUGAAAAGUAGUUUAAUAAUGGGAAAUGGAGAUGCAAAAGACAAUUUGCAAUAUGGAGAAGGAAAGAAAGAGUCGAUUUCUGCUACACCUUAUUAGUAGUUUUGUCCUCUUACUUUUCUCUCUCUUCUUUUAACUCAAGUAAUAAUGGCAAUAUUUUGACAAGCAAAGAAACAGCAUUGGAGGUUUUAACCCAGUAUCUAUAACAUAGACUACAAUCUAAAAAGAAAAGCAUAUAGAAUUUAGGAUUCAUUCUUAAAUCUGAUUGUCUAGACUUCCAAAGGACUCCUGCACUGAGCGCUGGAAGAAGCAUCUGUUAGGCCGGGAACAAAGAAACAAUUAG
rnacentral:lncRNA from 1 species